rnacentral:rRNA from 1 species
CCCUUAGAUGUUCUGGGCCGCACGCGCGCUACACUGAUGCAUUCAACGAGUUUCUUCCUGGUCCGAGAGGAAUGGGUAACCUUUUGAAAGUGCAUCGUGAUAGGGAUAGACUAUUGCAAUUAUUGGUCUUCAACGAGGAAUUCCUAGUAGACGUAGUUCAUCAGACUGCAUCGAUUACGUCCCUGCCCUUUGUACACACCGCCCGUCGCUACUACCGAUUGAACGGUUUAGUGAGGGCCUCGGAUUGGUCUCGGCCCGCUCUUUACCGGGCGGUGCCGUUGGUCGAGAAGACGCUCGAACUUGAUCGUUUAGAGGAAGUAAAAGUCGUAACA